rnacentral:rRNA from 1 species
UACGAGGGGGGCGAGCGUUGUUCGGAAUUAUUGGGCGUACAGGGUGCGUAGGCGGUUUGGUAAGUCUUAUGUGAAAUCUAUGGGCUCAACUCAUAGUCUGCAUGAGAAACUGCCGGGCUUGAGUAUGGGAGAGGUGAGUGGAAUUCCUGGUGUAGCGGUGAAAUGCGUAGAUAUCAGGAGGAACACCUGUGGCGAAAGCGGCUCACUGGACCAUAACUGACGCUGAUGCACGAAAGCUAGGGGAGCAAACAGG